CCUACGGGUGGCAGCAGUGGGGAAUAUUGGGCAAUGGGCGAAAGCCUGACCCAGCAACGCCGCGUGAAGGAAGAAGGCUUUCGGGUUGUAAACUUCUUUUGACAGGGAAGAGCAGAAGACGGUACCUGUCGAAUAAGCCACAGCUAACUACGUGCCAGCAGCCGGGGUAAUACGUGGGUGGCAAGCGUUGUCCGGAUUUACUGGGUGUAAAGGGAGCGUAGAAGGCUGUGCAAGCCUGAAGGGAAAGGCGGGGGCCCAACCCCUGGAAUGCUUUGGGAACUGUACGGCUGGAGUGCAGGAGAGGUAAGUGGAAUUCCUGGUGUAGCGGUGAAAUGCGUAGAUAUUAGGAGGAACACCAGUGGCGAAGGCGGCUUACUGGACUGUAACUGACGUUGAGGCUCGAAAGCGUGGGGAGCAAACAGGAUUAGAUACCCCAGUAGUC
rnacentral:rRNA from 1 species